CAUUCCUUGACUUGCUCCGUCCGCGUCCUUGACUUCUAGAUUUUUCUUCAAGGGCUUAUACAGGUCCUUCUGGUACAAGUAAUCCUCCAUUUGCAUUUUCCAAAAAAUUCAAAAUUCACACCGUUGAAUUUAUCAAUUUUGGAAAUUUUAUCGUCUGUCGACAUUGCUCCCACUCGAUCUGGACUCCUUGGAUCGUUUCUGAUUUUUCAGCUAACCACCGUGUUUAGAACACCUUUUGUCGACAAAUCGGAACCGCCGACAAAUUUCACUAUUCACGAAAUUCACUAUUCACGUGAAUAGUAACAGCGAAAAAACAUCAGAAAAUAUCUGCCACCACCGUGGCUCUGAUACCAGUUGUUGGGAAAUUAGACGCAACUAAUUCCGCCCGGGAUCAAGUGUGACUCAAUAUUUUGGAUAUCGACCGAUAUGAAACGAGAAGAAAAAUGACACCGAUAUUUUUAACGUGGUUCGGCCAAACUGCCUACGUCCACGGACCCACACCAAUAUAUUAGAGAAUCUCAAAAGGAGGAGUACAACAAAAAUACCACACUGUAUUUUGUAUCUGCCUACGCAGAGGCUAUAUCUCAACUCACUUUUAUCACUCGUGUAUAACUUCCACUCAGAAGCUAUCCUCACACAAGAUUUCUCUCUCUCUAAUAUCACACCCUUCUCUGGUGUUGUUCUGGGGGUUUUGGGGUUCUGGGUGAUUCUAAUGCUGCUGCCAUGCCUUCUAUUUAUAGGCAAAAUGAGGGUGGUUGGUGGCGGUAGGUGCACGCCAAGUUGGAGAAUUGGGGCUGCCUUUAUUUGACAAAAUAAAGCAGCUGCAACUUUUUGACAAUUGUUGCUUUUUG
rnacentral:lncRNA from 1 species